rnacentral:rRNA from 1 species
GAUGAACGCUGGCGGCGUGCCUAAUACAUGCGAGUCGAGCGAACAGAUGAGGAGCUUGCUCCUCUGACGUUAGCGGCGGACGGGUGAGUAACACGUGGAUAACCUACCUAUAAGACUGGGAUAACUUCGGGAAACCGGAGCUAAUACCGGAUAAUAUAUUGAACCGCAUGGUUCAAUAGUGAAAGACGGUUUUGCUGUCACUUAUAGAUGGAUCCGCGCCGCAUUAGCUAGUUGGUAAGGUAACGGCUUACCAAGGCAACGAUGCGUAGCCGACCUGAGAGGGUGAACGGCCACACUGGAACUGAGACACGGUCCAGACUCCUACGGGAGGCAGCAGUAGGGAAUCUUCCGCAAUGGGCGAAAGCCUGACGGAGCAACGCCGCGUGAGUGAUGAAGGUCUUCGGAUCGUAAAACUCUGUUAUUAGGGAAGAACAAAUGUGUAAGUAACUAUGCACGUCUUGACGGUACCUAAUCAGAAAGCCACGGCUAACUACGUG